CUUCUCCUCCCGCACGACCUCCUCCUCCCGCGCCGUUCGCCUCCCUUCGCCGCGCCCUUCGCCGCAGCCGAGGCAGACGAGCCCCCUGAAGGGGAGGUCCCUCCAGGGACGGCGCAGUAGGCGAGCGCCGCGUAGGCGUCGGCGAGGACAUGGACGAGGGAGGUGGCCCUGUUGUGUGCGACGGGGAAGCAGAUGCCGACGGUGCUGGCGACGAGGAUUGAUGCCGACGGCGCUUGACGGCCCCGUCCCGCCUCUCCCAGCCGCCGCCGUCGCCGAAGACGGAGGGCUCCGGCUUCGCGCCCCAGAACAUGGCCUGGGUGACCGGCGGCGCCGGGUGCGUCCAGAAGGAGCAGGUGUCGUUGCCUCCCCGGCCGUCGCCGCCCAGCACACGAGGAGCUGCGCCGGGGACUGUCGAGUCGCCGCGGCCGCCCCGCUUGGAGAAGCCGCAUGGUAGUCGCUGCGCCGUGCUCAUCUGAUGCCUGGACGACAAGGAGCAGCCUGCCAACAUCCCUGAGACAGGCGUCACCAGCGGAUGCAGCAGUGCAACCUUGAGCUUCAGUGAGGUGUAGUGUAUGAAUGGAUGGAUGGAUGAAUGUGGAAGUAAAAACAGGGGAAUGUUGGCGUUCUUGGAUAGAAUUGUCAGUCCAAAGAAAGAAAACGAGAGAAGAAAAGAAACUGAAAAAGGAAUGUAAUAUGUUUGUGUAUCUGCUGUAUAUGCAGGAAAGAAUUCAGUGGUGGUGUUUGGACUCUGCAGAAAUGCUGCUUAGUACAAAAGAAUCAACGAAUCUUGUGCGGGAACGCGGCGGCGCUGGGCAUAAGAAAGGCUGUCUUGAGCUGCGUCGCCACAGCCACGUCGCAGCAGACCCCUCCGUCUCCGUGCCCGGGCGCUCUCCCCUGCUCCAGCGCUGCAAUCCGGGCCGAAUCAGCACCUUCCUCCGUCGUCGAUCUGCGGCCCCUUCAUGCUUCAUGCCCAUGGUGUGGUCGACAUACCGCCCCGACACGCUGCACUGUGCCUAGCGUUCUGAUGGGAUAUGGGAAGAGAUGGGUGAAUGACCUAUAGGAUUUAAUAGCCCGUGCUCCCUUGCUGUCUGCCUGCAACACAAGCUCAUGCUCUACUACAGGGAGGCUGCGGUCAUAAGAGGACAUCAUCAAGUUCUUCGAUUGGUGCAACCGACUGAUUGAUGUUGCUGUUUGGAUGGCCUGUAGUUCGAGUCAUUCUAGGUUUUCUACUGUUAUACCUCGCAUCUAGAAGAUCUUUGGUGGGUUUCAUAAUCGUAAGGUCAAAUGUCAUUAUACAAAUUGAGUGCUAUUACUAUGCAUGUGACUGUUCUGUUUGAAGUAAGUCAAACUCUGUUAGUUAUGUGAUGCUUCCAAAUUGAAUAAGUAGAAGUGCACAUCUGACAUAUAUCUUGAAUUAAUGUUUCGAGAAAUAAUGAGUUAAUUUUAUGAACACCGAUGGGCAAACGUUUUAUCUUUAUUUGAUGAUCCAGAGAGAGGUCAACUUACAUUUUUACUGUCAUUAACCUUUUAUUGCCAUCUUGAUAAGCACAUGGUGAAUUAUGUACUAAGUGUAUAUAAGGUCUCAGAUCAAUGUUGAUGCUCCUGCUUCUCCUUUUAUUUCUCAUAUAUUAGAAGCUGCUGGAAACAUUUGUAGUUCCCCCGGCAUGUUUAGCAUGUAGUUAUUUUCCAUAUUUAAAUGCAGAUGAAACAUAAUAAUCUAGAUGCAUCUAUUCUCUUUUUGGACCAGGGGAGUGUUCCCCGUUUGAAAAAUGAAUACCUAGAGUGGAAGUAUUGCUAACGGUGAAAUGCUUUUAAAAUAUCUGUAGGUUGUAUAUUCUGACUGAAAAUAUCUGCAUAGGUUAUACGGGCCAGAGUGUCCAUUGUCGACGCCACCUUCGCUGCUGUACCCAUAUUUGGGGCCAACCAAACUAUGUAGCCAUCUGUCAUCCUGGAGGUCUCAAGACGAGGGUCAUGCCUGUGCUUUAAAUAUAUGUUUGAACCAUAAAAUUGAUUUGUUCCUUUCAAUGGUAUGUCGACAUGCAUUUCCAUCAAAUGACUCACUUCUAAUGCAUUGCUUCUUAGCUGAAUAUAUGUUUAUUUAUUGUACUUUUUUUCUUAGAAACUACUGUUCUCAAGUGGAGAGUGGAGACACGAUUGUAAAGGUCAUCCCUUGUAAUCUCAACUAAAAUAAU